rnacentral:lncRNA from 1 species
UCCAAUUAAUGAUGAUGGGAAAGAAGAAAAUUCAUGGAAACUUCUAUGAAAUUACAAAACUCUCCAACCUCUCUCUUUCUCUUCCCUGCUAAGCAAAUUACGUCAUUUUUUUUAUAUUAUUAUUUCUAUAAUAAUUAUCCCCAUAUCUCAUAAAGUUCUUCAGAAGGUGGAUCAUUCUCUCUCAUCAUUUCACCAAGACAAGAAGCUCUUCGUCUUUGCCCUAAUUUUAAUCAUUGAUUUAGGGUUUGGUUGGAUUCAAUGGGACAACAGCAAUCCAAGGACGAGUUGCUUCAUCAGCAAGUCGUUUAUGGCAACGUUGAAGGGAUCAAGCACUUUCCAGAGAAGGCGCGGGCCUUGAGGUAUUGCUGAAAUUAUUGCCUCUUUGUUUGGUCACUGAGAUGGCUUUGGAAAAUGAUGGAAAAUCUUUUGUGUUGUGUUUUAAGCCCAGUUGAUUGUAGGGUGUUUUCCCCGCUAGUUUUUGGUUUGCUUCUCGGCAACCAUUGUGGUUGAUUGAGUCUAUUUCGAUGGGGUUAAGGGCUUGUUUGGGUUUUUUCUCAACGACCAGACUGGUUCCGGUUCCAGGAUUAUAUAAAGAUGUUUUCUGUUUCCUAUUUUCUGUUCUAGAAACGUAAAAUGACUUCUGAAAAACGUGCUUUUGGGAAACCAAACAAAACAGGUCAUGGGUUUCUAACUAUGAUGGUUUUGGUGCAGUGGACCGACAGAGAAGGAAAGACUCCAUUGAUUGUGGCGUGCAUGUUUUCUAAACUUUUUAAUAUGUAUUUGUGUGAGAAUGACAGGUACAAAAUUUUUUUAAGAUAUACUAUCACAUAAUCAUCCUUUCUAAAAAACGAGAGAGGAAAAAAAAAAGAAUGAUU